rnacentral:rRNA from 1 species
GUGCCAGCCGCCGCGGUAAUACGGAGGGUGCGAGCGUUAAAUCGGAAUUACUGGGCGUAAAGGGCGCGUAGGCGGUCGCGCAAGUCGGGUGUGAAAGCCCCGGGCUCAACCUGGGAAUUGCAUUCGAUACUGCGUUAACUAGAGUCUGGUAGAGGGAAGCGGAAUUCCGCAUGUAGCGGUGAAAUGCGUAGAUAUGCGGAGGAACACCAGUGGCGAAGGCGGCUUCCUGGACCAAGACUGACGCUGAGGCGCGAAAGCGUGGGGAGCAAACAGGAUUAGAUACCCUGGUAGUCCACGCCCUAAACGAUGAGGACUAGACGUUGGGGGGAUAAAACCCUUUAGUGUCGCAGCUAACGCGUGAAGUCCUCCGCCUGGGGAGUACGGCCGCAAGGUUGAAACUUAAAGGAAUUGACGG